ACGGGUGAGUAACACGUGGGAACGUACCUUUCGGUUCGGAAUAAUUCAGGGAAACUUGGACUAAUACCGGAUACGCCCUUCGGGGGAAAGAUUUAUCGCCGAUAGAUCGGCCCGCGUCUGAUUAGCUAGUUGGUGAGGUAAUGGCUCACCAAGGCGACGAUCAGUAGCUGGUCUGAGAGGAUGAUCAGCCACAUUGGGACUGUGACACGGCCCAAACUCCUACGGGAGGCAGCAGUGGGGAAUAUUGGACAAUGGGCGCAAGCCUGAUCCAGCCAUGCCGCGUGAGUGAUGAAGGCCUUAGGGUUGUAAAGCUCUUUUGUCCGGGAAGAUAAUGACUGUACCGGAAGAAUAAGCCCCGGCUAACUUCGUGCCAGCAGCCGCGGUAAUACGAAGGGGGCUAGCGUUGCUCGGAAUCACUGGGCGUAAAGGGCGCGUAGGCGGACUCUUAAGUCGGGGGUGAAAGCCCAGGGCUCAACCCUGGAAUUGCCUUCGAUACUGGGAGUCUUGAGUUCGGAAGAGGUUGGUGGAACUGCGAGUGUAGAGGUGAAAUUCGUAGA
rnacentral:rRNA from 1 species